CUAAGCCUUUUGGUAUAGUUGUUACUUCAACAAUGGUCAAAUAUUUUAAUGGAAAAAUUAAUCUAAAUACUUCUGCAUCAACCAAAAUUUAUAUUGAGCUUCAAAUUUCCGAGGUUGAUGAAUUGAAAUCUUUAUGGAGUGAGAAGUUAGAUAAUGCUACCAUUGGAAAACUUG